rnacentral:ncRNA from 1 species
AAGAUAGAGGUGCGGUUCGCUAUCAGUAGCUUUUGAAUGUCAAAUCCGGCAGGAUAAUGUCAUAAGCGAAAGGAGCUGCCGCCGAAGAGGGCCUGCCGGCAGGCGGCCACUCUGGUAAAACGGAACAAUAUCCGGUUUACUGUCGCAUUUGCGGAGAGCUAUCGGA